rnacentral:rRNA from 1 species
CCUACGGGGAGCAGCAGUGGGGAAUAUUGCACAAUGGGGGAAACCCUGAUGCAGCGACGCCGCGUGAGUGAAGAAGUAUUUCGGUAUGUAAAGCUCUAUCAGCAGGGAAGAAAAUGACGGUACCUGACUAAGAAGCCCCGGCUAACUACGUGCCAGCAGCCGCGGUAAUACGUAGGGGGCAAGCGUUAUCCGGAUUUACUGGGUGUAAAGGGAGCGUAGACGGCAGAGCAAGUCUGAAGUGAAAGCCCGCGGCCCAACUGCGGGACUGCUUUGGAAACUGCCCGGCUAGAGUGCUGGAGAGGUAAGCGGAAUUCCUAGUGUAGCGGUGAAAUGCGUAGAGAUCGGGAGGAACACCAGUGGCGAAGGCGGCCUACUGGGCUUUAACUGACGCUGAGGCACGAAAGCAUGGGUAGCAAACAGGAUUAGAUACCCGAGUAGUC